UAAUAGCCCCGAUUGUAGUGAAAAUCCCGCAGCGGUCUGCCGGAGGCGUCGUGAGGAAUUGUAACGUAAAGCGGGAUACUCC
rnacentral:sRNA from 1 species